UACGAAGGGGGCUAGCGUUGCUCGGAAUCACUGGGCGUAAAGCGCACGUAGGCGGCUUUCUAAGUCAGGGGUGAAAUCCUGGAGCUCAACUCCAGAACUGCCUUUGAUACUGGAGAGCUUGAGUCCGGGAGAGGUGAGUGGAACUCCGAGUGUAGAGGUGAAAUUCGUAGAUAUUCGGAAGAACACCAGUGGCGAAGGCGGCUCACUGGCCCGGUACUGACGCUGAGGCUCGAAAGCGUGGGGAGCGAACAGG
rnacentral:rRNA from 1 species